AAUAUACUUUAAUUUAAUAUAAAUUUUAUUAGUAAGAAAAAUUUUUAUGGAACUUUUUGUAUUUUCCAGCUAAUAACUUUGAAUAAAACUAAAAAUAGUAUUUCAGUUAACUUACUUUUUUUGACAAAAUUGGUGCCAGCAGUCGCGGUCAGACCAGUAAAAAAAAUAAAAUUAUUAGAAAACUUAAACCAUCAAUCUUUACUACUUAAAUAGUAAAACAUUAAUAGAAUAUAACCAAAAAAAAUAUUAUUGAAAAAAUCCAAAAGAAAACCAGGAUUAGAUACCCUGUUAUUUUAGAAAGAAAUAAAAUUUCUAAGCACUAAAAUUUUUAAAAUUAAAACUUAAAAAUUAUGGCGGUAAACAAAAUUUUCAGGGGAACUUACCAGAUAAUUGAUAACCCACAAGUUUCUCAACUUAAAUUUAAAGUUUAUGUAUUGCCGUGUAUGUUUCUUUUUAGACGAAACAUUAAUUAAAAAACCACAGGUCAUAAUAUAGCAAAUAUUUAAGUCUUAAGGUGAGUUACAAUAUAAAAUUAUCGGAAUUUCAUUUUAAAAAAUGGAAAAAAGAUGGACUUGAAAGUAAAUAAAAAUAAUAAAUAUUGAAUUUUUUUUUGUUUGUGUACAAAUCGCCCGUCACUCUUUUUCUAGAAUUUUUAAAAAAGACAAGUCGUAACAUAGUAGAGGUAGUGGAAACUGUCUCUUUUUUUAA
rnacentral:rRNA from 1 species